rnacentral:rRNA from 1 species
GCCAGCAGCCAUAUCACCCUGCAGCCCAAGACUGGUUGCCCACUGAAGCUAAGCAGGGUUGAGCCUGGUCAGUACCUGGAUGGAAGACCUCCUGGGAAAACUAGGUUGCUGCUGGAG